rnacentral:lncRNA from 1 species
CUGCCUGGUCCUCCUCAUCAGGGCUUCUUACUGUGGCCUCUCCUUGUCUCAGUUUCCUCAUCUUAUGGGAUUUCAAAAGCAUUAUUGCUUUUAUUUUAUAGGACACAUCCUUUUUAAUCUGCUUCCUCCUGGCCUGGUUCACAGCGGGCUCAGAAGCCUACAGGGUCCGAGCCUGACCCCGGAGACUCAGCGCCACCGCCCAGCACCCUCCGCCAACAGCUCGCUGAAACAGGAAGGAAGACCUUGCCCAGCCCUCCUGGGAGAAAUGGUUUCCCCUUUUGCCUCUGCACUCCACAGUGCCACCCCUGGUCCGGAGGAAGAACAGCACCCUGGAAGGAUUCCCCUCUCCCCCACCAUUGGCCAGGGCUUGGGUCACACUGACCCCAAAGGGCCAUGGCUGAGCAGCUGAGAAGCACGGAGCAGCCUGCACUCUGCUGCCGGCUCCCCACUGACGCGGGAGGGGAGUGAAUAACAGUCUCAGCCA